AGAUCGAGAUGAUAAUGAUAUCCGAGGGCAAGCUACCAAGUUUGAGGCUGAGCCACAAGCCUGAGAUCGAAGUGAAGGCUGAGCUCCCAAAGGUGGAAUACCCAAAAGCUGAGUCCUGAAGGUUGAGAACCAAAAAGCUAAGCUCCCAAAAGACAAGCUCCUAAACACUUAUCCUAAGGCCAAUCUGAGAAGGCCAAAGUCAAAAGAUCAAGAUAAAGCUGACCAAAAUUGGACAUUGACCAGAUUUGACCAUCUCCAAUUCACUCC
rnacentral:lncRNA from 1 species